AUACGUAGGGUGCAAGCGUUAAUCGGAAUUACUGGGCGUAAAGCGUGCGCAGGCGGUUUUGUAAGACAGAGGUGAAAUCCCCGGGCUCAACCUGGGAACUGCCUUUGUGACUGCAAGGCUAGAGGGCGGCAGAGGGGGAUGGAAUUCCGCGUGUAGCAGUGAAAUGCGUAGAUAUGCGGAGGAACACCGAUGGCGAAGGCAAUCCCCUGGGCCUGCACUGACGCUCAUGCACGAAAGCGUGGGGAGCAAACAGGAUUAGAUACCCUGGUAGUCCACGCCCUAAACGAUGUCAACUGGUUGUUGGGGAUUUAUUUUCUCAGUAACGAAGCUAACGCGUGAAGUUGACCGCCUGGGGAGUACGGCCGCAAGGUUAAAACUCAAAUGAAUUGACGGGG
rnacentral:rRNA from 1 species